UCCCUUGCUGAUUUUCAGCGUUAAUUUACUGUCCCACUUUCUUUUACAAGCGUUACCGGUAUGAUUAUCACCCACCUUAUCAUCUUCACUCUUCUUUCCCAUCUUCUCUUGAUUGUAUGUCAACGUAUUACCUUCCCUGUCUACAUCAAUCGUUCUCUCCAACCCUGUUGCAAACGAAUUUGAUUGAAACAUCGAGAUUUGAUUAUACAUCUAGAAAUUCAGUUGAUUUGCCAGUGCUCCCACCAGGAAAUUCACCAAUUGUGGCACUGGAUUUGCUUUAGCUUCCCUAUUGAAUGCAUUUUCCUUAGGGAUCUGUUGACG
rnacentral:lncRNA from 1 species